ACUCCCAGCAGCUAAGGUGACAAGCGUUUUUCGGUUCUGCCAGGGGAUCUGAGUGGCACACAACAACAUCCACUAUGAAAUGUGGUGUGUGCUGGGUGGGGGCUGACUGAGGAGCUCGAGAGUAGGAGUGAGGCAGGCUAUUUUAAAGAGGUGGCAAGGGAAGGCCUCUCUGAGCAAAGGCAGAGACUUUAGGCAAAGACUUGAUUGGUGUGAGGAAGUGAGCCAUUCAAAGUCAAGGGCACCAGAGGUUCUAAGCAGAGGAAACAGCAAAUGCAAAGCAGAGAACAAGCUUGGCACAUUUGAGAACCAACAAUAAGUCCAGUGUGUCUGGAGCCACAGGAGUCAAGGAGACAGCAGCUGGCAGUUCAGCCAAUGGGCUACCAGGAAACCAGAUGGCAGAGAGCCUGGUAGACCACGGUAGAAGCAUAUGGGAAACUGCAUUCCGAUCCAGGGAAGUAUAGGAAGCAGUAAUAAAAGUGGGAAGACCUAUUAUAAGUUCGUUGCAGUCAUCCAGGCCGUGACUGGGGACAUUUGGAUGGCCAGCAGAGCUGGAUUUAGAGGCAGAAGAGCUGGGCAGCUGUCCCAGUUACUCAUCUAUGAGGGGAGCUGAAAGAUCAUGAGAAUAAAUCAGAAAGAUGGUGCCAGUUAACCCCGCUUUCCACACAAGACUCUUGAUAUAAUUGGUGAAGUGGAAACUCCAGCCAAAGUACACUCCAUCCUCAAGCAAAACAUAAAACACACUCCUGAUGGAUACAGAAAGUUCUGGUGGCCUUAGAGCCUGAUUUGGUGCCAACCUGCCUGCGUUCAAAUCCAGGUUCCACUACUCACUGGAUGUGUGACCUUAGACAACUUCUUUCACCUCCUAGUGCUCUGUUCCCUUGGCUAUAAAAUAAAAAUUAUAAGAGUGCCAGUUUUGAACACUAAAUGGGCAUAAAGGAAACACUUAGACCCCAGACGGGCAUGUAGCAGGAACUUUAUAAUGGUUAGCUACUCAUUACCAUCUUUGUGAUGAGCUCAAGCAAGUUGCCUAAUGCCACUGGAGGCUGCACCCCUACCUGAGACAGCCACCUGAACAUUUCCUUAACGUGCAGCCUCUGAGAGCUGAAACUCUGAAAGGAAGUCCUGCAUAAUGAGCAUUUAUUAUGUUCAAGUAAUUAAUUUUCUCUCUUAAAAAUGUAACCCCCUUAGUACACCUCAAAAGAAAUCAUCUGACUUAGAAAAUACAAAAGACAUCUGAACAACAUCAAACAUUACAGAAAAGUUUUGCCCACGUGAAAGUCCCACUCCACCCCACCGCACCCCAAGAAAAGCAAAGCAAACAUAAAACCAACUUUUGAACAUUUUGAACAAGUGUUUGUAACCAUAUCGAUAUAUGCAUUACCUCUGUCCUGAGUGGAGAACUGGUGAUGGCUGCCUGCAGUAAAGGAGAAGAUGCUAGGGGAAG
rnacentral:lncRNA from 1 species